GAUGAAGAACGUAGCGAAAUGCGAUAAGUAAUGUGAAUUGCAGAAUUCAGUGAAUCAUCGAAUCUUUGAACGCACAUUGCGCCCGCCAGUAUUCUGGCGGGCAUGCCGGUUCGAGCGUCAUUUCAACCAUCAAGCCCUGCUUGCGUUGGGGUCCUGCGGCUGCCCGCAGGCCCUGAAAACCAGUGGCGGGCUCGCUAGUCACACCGAGCGCAGUAAUACAUCUCGCUUUGGGCGUGCGGCGGGUUCUUGCCGUUAAACACCCCCUUUUUACCAAGGUUGACCUCGGAUCAGGUAGGAAUACCCGCUGAACUUAAGCAUAUCAAUAAGCGGAGGA
rnacentral:misc_RNA from 1 species